rnacentral:lncRNA from 1 species
GCAGCGCUGUACGUUAAAGGCAAGUGGGAUCCCAUCGAGAACCGAGAUUACGAACUGUACAACACAACCUACAAGCCGGGACAAGUGAUAAGCAAGUGCAACGGUACGACACCACUAGUGCAUUUGUCAACGCAUCCUGACAUCACCGUCGCGUCAAUGAUGUUCACUACACACGGGUACCCCAUGUACCUGAAAUCCCUGGAAGAAAACAAGGCCUUGACGUUUUCCAGUAGCUUCGGUCUACCCAGCGGCCUCGCUGUCAAGCUCAGUGAUGCAAAGAACGCGUUGGACAACUUGAGCUCCCGAA